GAACCUGGGGCAGGGCUGACCUACAGCCUUCAGUGGGUUCCCGUACUUUAACAAGGGAGAGUGGGAGGGUGGAGUUGUGCAAGUGUAUUUUUAUUUUUGCAUGGCACUGAAGGCUUAUGCAUUUCAGAGAACCUGAUACCUUGAGCUCUGUGAAUCUGUUUACAGCACACAGUGCAGAACUGGCUUUAGUAUGACAGCCUGGAGAGGAGACCGUACGGAAUAAGUCCUAACGAAUACAGCUUAGUAAUAAGCCAUAAACUAUAAAACAGGCGAUAUCACAAUACAGAAGAAAAGGAAUAUCCGAACUUGAGAAGGAAGAAUACUGCAUUGGACAAAGUGGAGCUGGAAACGAAGUGUUUUCGAUGGGGAUAUGUAAGUUCUUGGAAAAGUAAGACAACUCGUAAAGAAAACUCCAACAAUUUUGGUGAAGAAACCGAUUUUUCCAGUUAAAAAUUUACUUUACUGAAGGAAAGAACUGACGGAAGAGAAAAGGCAGAAAACCCCCCCAGAAUCUAUGUAAAAUAAAAAAUAUUUUUGGGGAAAGGUAUGUGAAAGCUUCAGAGAAUGCAUUGAAUGCACAUUGAUAUAAGCCCACUCAAGAGGCAAAAAGAAGUCGAAAAGAUUUGGAUUAUGGAUGCUUAAUUAAUACUUGGAUGACCCUGAGAAGAUUGAUGUGCUCUCAGUCAUGGAGAAUGGGGAAGAAAUGACUGGGAGCUCUAACCUUCUGGUGCCUGAAGAAAAAAGGUAUGAACUCUGCUGUCAGAAGGACUGCUGUGAGCGAGUGGUCAUCAAUGUGUCUGGGUUAAGGUUUGAGACUCAAGUCAGGACCCUAAGUCGGUUUCCUGACACUCUCUUGGGAGACCCUAGUAAAAGAAUGCACUUCUUUGACCCUCUAAGGAAUGAGUACUUCUUUGACCGGAAUCGGCCAUGCUUUGACUCAAUACUUUACUUCUACCAGUCAGGGGGUCGACUCCGUCGGCCAUCUAAUGUCCCUUUAGAUGUUUUCAUGGAGGAGCUGAUGUUCUACGAGCUUGGAGAUGAUGCAAUUAGAAAAUUCAGAGAAGAUGAGGGAUUUCUCAAAGAGGAGGAAAGAUUGCUUCCAGAUUGUGAGUUCAUGAAGCAAGUUUGGCUGCUUUUUGAACACCCAGACAGCUCCUCCGCUGCCCGAAUCAUUGCUAUUAUCUCAGUUAUGGUCAUCCUCAUCUCCAUAGUCAUUUUCUGCCUAGAAACUCUUCCAGAAUUCAGAGAUGAAAGGGAUCUGUCAUUACCGGUA